CGUCUAUAUACGUAUAGCAUAUCAAUAAGCGGAGGAAAAGAAACUAACAAGGAUUCCCUUAGUAACGGCGAGUGAAGCGGGAAGAGCUCAAAUUUGAAAUCUUCAAGGUUCUACCUUGACGAAUUGUAGUUUAAAGAAGUGUUUUCUGUUAGAGGAGUAGCGAAAGUUCCUUGGAAUGGGACAUCAUAGAGGGUGAGAAUCCCGUAUUUGGUUAUUCUUUCUAGCUUUGUGAUACACUUUCAAAGAGUCGGAUUGUUUGGGAAUGCAGUCCAAAAUGGGUGGUAAAUUUCAUCUAAAGCUAAAUAUUGGCGAGAGACCGAUAGCGAACAAGUACCGUGAGGGAAAGAUGAAAAGAACUUUGAAAAGAGAGUUAAACAGUACGUGAAAUUGUCAAAAGGGAAGCGUUUGACACCAGUGUUGAUUUUCCGAAAAUCAAUUAAGAGUGGCUUGAUUUUGUGUUGUAUUGACCUUAUCAGCUUUCUUCACUCUUUUUCGAGUCUUUCUUAAUGCACUUUUCGGUUAACAAGUCAACAUCAAUUUCUUUUGUUGUAAAAGGGUAUUUGGAAGGUGGCUUUCUUUUCGGAGAAAGUGUUUAUAGCCUUAUACCUCUACAAUCGGAGAGAUUGAGGUCUGCAGCAUAGAUCCUUCGGGGCUAGAUACACUUGUGCUAAGUUAUAGCUUUUCAUAGACAACUUGUUGACUAUGUUUAGUCAUGUAGCUUACCCGCUUGUGCUAUUUUACCUACGCUUAGGAUGUUGAGUCAUCACACAUCUCU
rnacentral:rRNA from 1 species